rnacentral:rRNA from 1 species
UUUAUGGAGAGUUUGAUCCUGGCUCAGAGUGAACGCUGGCGGCGUGCCUAAUACAUGCAAGUCGAACGAUGAAGCUUCUAGCUUGCUAGAGUGCUGAUUAGUGGCGCACGGGUGAGUAACGCAUAGGUCAUGUGCCUCUUAGUUUGGGAUAGCCAUUGGAAACGAUGAUUAAUACCAGAUACUCCCUACGGGGGAAAGAUUUAUCGCUAAGAGAUCAGCCUAUGUCCUAUCAGCUUGUUGGUAAGGUAAUGGCUUACCAAGGCUAUGACGGGUAUCCGGCCUGAGAGGGUGAACGGACACACUGGAACUGAGACACGGUCCAGACUCCUACGGGAGGCAGCAGUAGGGAAUAUUGCUCAAUGGGGGAAACCCUGAAGCAGCAACGCCGCGUGGAGGAUGAAGGUUUUAGGAUUGUAAACUCCUUUUGUUAGAGAAGAUAAUGACGGUAUCUAACGAAUAAGCACCGGCUAACUCCGUGCCAGCAGCCGCGGUAAUACGGAGGGUGCAAGCGUUACUCGGAAUCACUGGGCGUAAAGAGCGCGUAGGCGGGAUAGUCAGUCAGGUGUGAAAUCCUAUGGCUUAACCAUAGAACUGCAUUUGAAACUACUAUUCUAGAGUGUGGGAGAGGUAGGUGGAAUUCUUGGUGUAGGGGUAAAAUCCGUAGAGAUCAAGAGGAAUACUCAUUGCGAAGGCGACCUGCUGGAACAUUACUGACGCUGAUUGCGCGAAAGCGUGGGGAGCAAACAGGAUUAGAUACCCUGGUAGUCCACGCCCUAAACGAUGGAUGCUAGUUGUUGGAGGGCUUAGUCUCUCCAGUAAUGCAGCUAACGCAUUAAGCAUCCCGCCUGGGGAGUACGGUCGCAAGAUUAAAACUCAAAGGAAUAGACGGGGACCCGCACAAGCGGUGGAGCAUGUGGUUUAAUUCGAAGAUACACGAAGAACCUUACCUAGGCUUGACAUUGAGAGAAUCCGCUAGAAAUAGUGGAGUGUCUAGCUUGCUAGACCUUGAAAACAGGUGCUGCACGGCUGUCGUCAGCUCGUGUCGUGAGAUGUUGGGUUAAGUCCCGCAACGAGCGCAACCCCCUUUCUUAGUUGCUAAUAGGUCAUGCUGAGAACUCUAAGGAUACUGCCUCCGUAAGGAGGAGGAAGGUGGGGACGACGUCAAGUCAUCAUGGCCCUUACGCCUAGGGCUACACACGUGCUACAAUGGGGUGCACAAAGAGAAGCAAUACUGUGAAGUGGAGCCAAUCUUCAAAACACCUCUCAGUUCGGAUUGUAGGCUGCAACUCGCCUGCAUGAAGCUGGAAUCGCUAGUAAUCGCAAAUCAGCCAUGUUGCGGUGAAUACGUUCCCGGGUCUUGUACUCACCGCCCGUCACACCAUGGGAGUUGUGUUUGCCUUAAGUCAGGAUGCUAAAUUGGCUACUGCCCACGGCACACACAGCGACUGGGGUGAAGUCGUAACAAGGUAACCGUAGGUGAACCUGCGGUUGGAUCACCUCCUUUCUAGA